UGGCCCCGCCCACUGGGCGUGCUCCUCCUACAUACAUGACUGCCUGCCAUGGCGUAGGAAUGGUUUCUAUUACUGCAUGUGGACUUGUCCUCUCCUCUCUCAGCGCUGAUCACUGAUCCCACUGAUAAGGAGUCUUUCACUUGUUUGGCGGUGUCAGGUGACCCCGACUCAGGCGGUCCCGGCUCUAAUGAGUACUUGCUGAUCUCAUCCAGAUUUGGGAUCCGGGCUCUGGGCUGAGAUUGUCGUACUCGCCAGACGUGAAGUGAGCCAAACAGUUUUAACAUGUCUCUGAAGGCGGCCCAGUAGCCAGUCACCAGGACCCUGUCCCUGAAUCCCUGGCACUUGACCCCAAUCAGAGAAGUCUGAGACACCGAGGAACUGUGGCAGUAGAUCAACCUGUCACUUGUGGGCUUUGAUCCCACUGAUAUAGGACUUUAAUAUGUGCACCACAGGGUGGACGUACCCAGGAACGGGAAGGAAAAGCAGCAGAAGACCACAGAGACGUCCUUGCAGCACACAUGACAACAUCCGCCAUCUUCUUUGUUUCAUGCAGCACGUAGACGUCCAAAGUGAGAUCUCGGCUGCAGCCUGGCAGGGAACCCGAGUGGAGUGUUAUGACUUUCUAACAUGGUGUCAGGCAGCUGCACUCAGCUGGAGGCCAGCUUUUUCUUCUUCUUUUUUUUUUUUUGUCCAACAGGAACUGGAGGGCAAGUCUGCACAGAUUGUGCUUCAGGACUUUGAUGGCCAGAAGAGACUUUACCUUGAAGAGGAACUGCACUUUUUUUAAAUGUUCCCUAUCAUUUACGAUCCUUAUGUAAGACAAGAACAUAUGUUCAUUCUAAAUCGUAAAUAAAUGCUAGCAAAAGUCAGCUAACA